rnacentral:rRNA from 1 species
UACGAAGGGGACUAGCGUUGUUCGGAAUCAUUGGGCGUAAAGCGCGUGUAGGCGGUUCGGUAAAUCCGCUGUGAAAGUCGGGGGCUCAACCCUCGAAAGCCGGUGGAUACUGUCGGGCUAGAGUCCGGAAGAGGCGAGUGGAACUCCUGGUGUAGCGGUGGAAUGCGCAGAUAUCAGGAAGAACACCAACGGCGAAGGCAGCUCGCUGGGACGUGACUGACGCUGAGACGCGAAAGCGUGGGGAGCAAACAGG